AUUGAACGCUGCGGCAUGCCUUACACAUGCAAGUCGAACGGUAACAGGUCUUCGGAUGCUGACGAGUGGCGAACGGGUGAGUAAUACAUCGGAACGUGCCUAGUAGUGGGGGAUAACUACUCGAAAGAGUGGCUAAUACCGCAUGAGAUCUACGGAUGAAAGCGGGGGAUCGCAAGACCUUGUGCUACUAGAGCGGCCGAUGGCAGAUUAGGUAGUUGGUGGGAUAAAAGCUUACCAAGCCGACGAUCUGUAGCUGGUCUUAGAGGACGAUCAGCCACACUGGGACUGAGAAACGGCCCAGACUCCUGCGGGAGGCAGCAGUGGGGAAUUUUGGACAAUGGGCGAAAGCCUGAUCCAGCAAUGCCGCGUGCAGGAUGAAGGCCUUCGGGUUGUAAACUGCUUUUGUACGGAACGAAAAGCCCCGGGUUAAUACCCUGGGGUCAUGACGGUACCGUAAGAAUAAGCACCGGCUAACUACGUGCCAGCCGCCGCAGUAA
rnacentral:rRNA from 1 species